CCCGUGUCCUCUGAGCCAGCCCGUCCUGCGGUCGCUCAUCCAGCAGCUGUCCCUCCAACCUCACCACCCGCUCAGAGCUCAAAAUCAGUUACCUGGAGGACGCUCUGAUGAACCUGGACCACGGGGACCCCCUGACCAGAGACCACAUGGCGUCGGUGCUGGCCCAGGUGCGGCCUAAGCUGUUCUCCUUCCUGCAGCAGGACCCCCACAGCCCCCUGAGCAAGAGGGCGCGGCGCCUCAUGAUGAUGCUGCAGGGACUGGUCAACCACUAGACCCACGCACGGCGGCCGCUCCGGUGCUGGAGGGAGGGGGAGGAGCCUAACAAGCACCGGGACGCAUUUCCAGAUGGGGGGGGGGGGGGGGGGGGGGGGGGGGGGGGCACUUUGGAGGCGGAGGGAAACGAAGGAUCAUGUGACUCCGAGGCCUGGAUGUGAAAACGCAGCGUCUGCCAUCAGUAGAAGAGUCCCGUUCACAGCGGCUCCGACCGCACCGCCACAGGAGUCCCAGCUCAGACACGUUUGCGUUCUUCAUCAGACCUUCGAUGCAGGACGAGAAUCAGAUGAUUUGUGUUAAAGACAGACUUUUGUGGGGUUUGUUUUUUUUGUUACUGCUGCUUUUUCUGCUCGUUUCAUCCUUUUGUUCAAAACCGACGAGCAGAAAAGACACGAGGCCGGGACACGUCCGCUCGUCAAUUUACGACACGAAACCCGAAACCGACUCCGUUUAUGACUCGACGUCACCUGAAAACUCCCACUGACGUCCCACCACUGGCGCCGUUUUUCUUUCCUUCUGCCGUUCUGUCAUUCAGAUGGACUUCGGUUUUCGACUUCGGAAUCGGACGAGCGAACCACCUCGAACGUCGCCGCUUUGUGUUUUGCGGCGGGUUCGGACGUCGACUUUUCAGACCGACAUCUUCAGCAGGAAUCCAGAUUAAGAAGAAAAAGAAGAAAAAAAACACCAAACAAACAAACACCUGAGAACAACGAAACCUGGCAACGGACAGUUAUGCGCCGGCGCCCACGUUUCCCUUCAGUUAUUUCUUAAUAAGUCGGGGACGUUCCACCCAAAAGAAACCACAGCUGCGUCUGGCUUUGUGAAUCUGGCGUCUCAUCGUUACUCGUCCCUCGUUCCGUGGAAGUUUUCCUGAGGACGACGAAAGAAAGCAAGAAAGACAGAACGAGGCAGAAAUGCCAGGUUCCACCUGUUCGCCCCGGCAGCCGUCCGUCCAGCUCAGUCCUGUAAAUGAAGCGCACCAUCCCUGCGUCUCCUCCCCUUUUUUUCUACACAUUUAGCGUUUGUAAGACUUGUAUUCUUUAACAGGUGUCAGACUAGUUUGAAUGCAUCCUCAUCAGAAUAAUAAUAAUUAUAAUAAU